AAACACACAGAAUGAAUUUCCUAGAAAGCUGCUUAUUUAGGCAUUUUUAAUGUUUCUCUCUGAAAUAAAAUGGCAAGUGACCUUCACAGGCUGCUUAUUAUGUUAGAGAGACAUUGCUGCUUGAGAGGACAUAUUAAACCCCGCCUCCUCCACCCCUCCCCCACUCCAUACAGAGAUACACACACACCGACGUCCCUAGCAACAGCAUUAAGAAUCUUUCUAAAGAUCUCUUCAAAUUCUCUCUCUGCCAAAUGAAAGCUUAGCUGUUAUGAUGACUUCAGAAAUAGUUUUGGACCCUUCUCCCGGGCACUGACUCUGUCUUGGAGACCAGACUCAUGACAUUCAGAAAAGACUCUCCAAAACGAGAUGGGCCGUGUGACUUCUGCCGUGAUUUGAUGACAGAGUGUUUAUCGGAACUAAUCAUGUGAGAUUUUCCAGUGUUGCAUUUUUGAGAAACGGGAUUCUCUUAAGGAGGUUACAAACACUUCACUGAAAGCUUUCCAAGAACAGCUUCAUGCCGCCUCUCGCCAGCCUCUCGCCAGCCGGAGCACCGAUGUGAUAAUCAGGGUCCGAGCUUCUGAAAAGUCUUCUUGUUCUGGCUGCCACCCUCCUUUCAGCCGUCAUUAGAAUUCUCAAGCUAUGAAUCCCCUAUUGUCUGUGUGAGCCCGGGAUCCCCCACACCACGCGGAGGAAGGAAUGUGAACCUUCUAGGUCUGGUCCUAAGCCUCAACCCUAUCCAGCAGGUCACAAAGCCCCAUUUAUACUUGGCUCCAAAGUUUUAUCAUAAUUCUUUAUCUGCUCAGCCCCAUAGAUCCUCUAGGGCAGUCAGGAGACGUUUGGUAAUGAAGCCCAUUUAUCCUCAUUUUCUCAAUUGGCACACUUAAAGUUCUAAUAUUUAUGUUCACACUGUCCUAAUUUUGAAUGUCAAAGAUACUAUGCGAGACAAGGAGCAUUGCCAAAGGAUAAUUGAACCGCACCGAAGAGUUCACCAGAGUCUGAUGCCUGAUGUGGUUUGUCAUAUUACCAGUCAUUGCAUCACAAAUAGUUAACUUCAAUAGCUUGGUGGAAACAUAGUAACAAACGCUGCCAUUUAUCAAACACCUCUUCCUGUGUGGCAUGCAGCGACGUCACUGAAUUCUCACACUUUACGAAGAGGAUUAUCCACUUUUUAUUGAAACUAAGGUUCAGAGAGAUUAAUUAACCUGUUUCUGUGCAUUCAGAGGCUGAGCUUAGACUCAAACCCAGAUCUCUGACUGCAAAGCUCACGGCAUUUGUACCUCACUCCUUUGCCUCUUACCAGAAAUACAAUUUGUGAGUCGUUUUAAAUUAGCAUAACACAGUUAUUUUUCAUCACAGUUAAGCAAAGAAUUUUAAACUUAGGGCUGUUAAAAAGGUUUUGGCCAACUGAAUAAUGAGAUCUCUUCUGAUAAGUAUUAGCAUGCUCUCAGGUCAGAGUAGGAAUUUGUGGCAUAUACUUCACCUAUCAAUAGGUGGCAGUAUUCACCUAAAUCUCUCCAAGAGGAAUUAGCACAGGUCACUCACAACCAUCCCCAAGGCCAUCUACAUUUUUUGAUGCACUGGGUUUUAUCAUGAAGAGUAGCGUUUACAAUAAUUGGGCUACUAACUGGAUCUUCAUCAUGCCUUCGGAGAGUGAGAUUUGGACUCCAGUGGGUUGUUUGGGAGGGGGAUGCGCCAUCACAGAGACCUUGGGACCCCUCUCCAUUCGCAACAUUCAUUUUGACCAUUUCCUCGAGGGAGGUCUUUGUUUGCAACUGGAAGCCAAAGAUGAUUUGGGGGUCUUCGUUUACUUUAAGAAUCUUCAGCAUAAUUUUCAAAUAAUUUAAAAAUGAAAUUAUUAAUACCCUAAGAUUUGAUAAUUCAUACAUUCAUAAUUCAGAGAAAGUUUGCUCAGAUCAGGACAAUAAAGCAACCGGCAGACCUCAUGGUUUCAAAGUGGUUUCAAGACCUAUGUGCAUGUAUACUCGCCCAUCAAAACAUAUGAGUCUUCACCAGGAUGCAUGAAAACUGGAGUCCAUAAAGUAAGUGCUCAAUACACAAGUCAAAGUGGACAAGUUGAUGAGGCCAAGUACCAAAGGAUAAAUGACCUCUGGGUUUUAGGCAGACUCUUCCUCUUUCUCUUAUUCCUCUGUAACCUCCCCUUCUUCCUUCUCCUUUUUCCAUAAAAAAAUAUCUUAAUAUCAAAAAUAUCUUUAGUUAAAAGUGUUAGCACAGAAUCUGUCUCUAUCUGCUGGCUGCUAAUAAGAGUCUGCCUGGUAGGAUACAGUUUUACAAAGUCAGGAAAACAGGUAUGGUCGUGGAUAAAAGGAUAAGCUGAGAAAUUCUCAGGCCUAUUUUUAUGUUGACCCCCCCCCCCCCUUUUCAUGUGGGAUACUUGGAACUGAUCAUCAUAAAUGAUGGACCAAGAAGCACUGAGAAAUUACAUAAGAUGAGGAGUCCUGACUCUCAGAAAUUAAGAAGUUGACUCAAGUUAAGAUUCUCAGGAGACUGGAUUCUCUCGAAAGAAUUCAGAUUGGCUGGUGGAUGAAGGCAGAAGUCUUCAGAGAUGGCAUCUUAACUUUUUUUUACGUUCCCAAAAGGGAUGAGUAUCUUUCUCUGUGCUCACUGUGGCAUUUGGAACCAUGUUAGCGCUCACGGCAUAGUCUACCUUCGUUAGAGUUACUUGUGGCCCCACUUUCCUGGACCGAGACCUCCAGGAGGGCAAGACUCAUACCACCCUAACUUUUGAAUUGGCUUCUCAGCUCAGUGACCUGGGCCUUGUGUAUGCUAGAUGAUGUUCAAUACAUAUAUACGUUUAGCGGAACUGAAUUAAAGAGAAUUCAUAUGAACGCAUUUUAUAUUUCUGCCCGUAGGUUAGAAGAGAAAUUGCAGCUUGGGUGUUGGAAACCUUGCACAGGUCACAUUUCUUGUUUGUCAUACGGUUCUUCCAUUUUAGGGCCGCAUUGGUAAGCGACUGUAGGCAUACCAUGCCAAAGCCGACACCACCCCCGGAACUAUUAGUUAACUCAUUUUAUAUCCUGGGCAAGGCCAUCUUAUUUUUGUAGGAUGCCCCGGCCACAUGAAGGUUAAAUGCAGAGGCAGGCAAAAAAGCCAUUAUAAGGGACGUUAAGUGACCCACAUUUAGUGUAUCAUGCCAAUCACUAAUGUUUCCUGCUUUUGUGGUUCAGAGACCCAACCUGCACUAAAAAGUCGAACACUACAAUGCUGUUUCCUAACGGUAGCUCUCAUUGUUUCCCAUAUUAGGGCAUAGCUAAGCACAAGGGGAGACAUUCAUCUUCAAAAGCUUACAAAAUUACAUUCAACCCAUUAGGCAUAUCAGGAGCUAUUGCCACGCUCGGGAAAUGAAUUACCCAGCUGAAUAUCACGGGCAUAAUGAAGUUGUCAGCAGCAACAGUGCGGCUGUAGAUUGUCUGAUUAUGUGUUGGCUGUGCUGGCCAUUCAGGGACACACCAGGAAGGAAGUCAUUGUCAUACCGUCCACAACAUUCUCAGCCCUGUCCCCAGCCACGGUAAUAAACCUGAUAUCCUGAGAAGCACAUGGAAAACAACAAUAACAGCAACAAACGACAAAAAGCAUGCCCUUAUUCCUGGCAUGGCUGGAGUGUGUCCCUUCCUAGGGCUCCCAUCUGUCAUCUUCUUUAAAAAAAAUGACCAUGACAAGGAGUGCAAGUUUAGAUUCUGGCCCUCCAAACAAACAUUUCACAAUGGGCUUCCUUAGCCUUUGUUAACCUCAAAAUAAACAGCAGUCCAGCAAGAGAGCUUUAACUACGUGGGUGGGAUUUACACCUCUCCUGUGAGUCAAAGAUGGAGGCAGCCUGAGUUGUUCUUUUCUGCAGAAGGAUCUGCCAAAGCAGGGUGAUAUAGGUAGUGUCUCUUGACAUCAACCGGAAUCUUCUCAAAGAUUCUCUUGGCUUUUUUUUUUUAACCCAAACCACAAAAAACCCAUAACAAAACAAAACAAAA